GAGGGUAUAGCUUAGUGGUAGAGCACAUGCUUAGUUUGCAUGAGGUCCUGGGUUUAAUUCCCACUGCCUCCA
rnacentral:tRNA from 1 species